AGUAGUGAAGUAAAAUUUACACUUAGUUUCGACCUAAGAUUAGGGAAUUAUCUGCCCCUUACUU
rnacentral:tRNA from 1 species